rnacentral:rRNA from 1 species
UACGAGGGGUGCAAGCGUUGCUCGGAAUUAUUGGGCGUAAAGGGUUGGUAGGUGGUCUUGUUUGUCUAGGGUGAAAUCCCAUGGCUUAACUGUGGAAGUGCCCUAGAAACGGCAAGACUAGAGUCCUAGAGGGGUUUGUGGAAUUCCCGGUGUAGCGGUGAAAUGCGUAGAGAUCGGGAAGAACAUCGGUGGCGAAAGCGCUCUACUGGGCCUGCACUGACACUGAGGGACGAAAGCUAGGGGAGCGAAAGGG